rnacentral:rRNA from 1 species
AUUGAACGCUAGCGGGAUGCCUUACACAUGCAAGUCGAACGGAGUGGCGAACGGGUGAGUAAUGCAUCGGAAUGUGCCCAGUAGCGGGGGAUAACUACCCGAAAGCGUAGCUAAUACCGCAUACUAUCUGAUCAGCCUAUAUCGGAUUAGCUAGUUGGUGGGGUAACUGCCUACCAAGGCGACGAUCCGUAACUGGUCUGAGAGGAGGACCAGCCACACUGGGACUGAGACACGGCCCAGACUCCUACGUGAGGCAGCAGUGGGGAAUUUUGGACAAUGGGGGAAACCCUGAUCCAGCCAUGACGCGUGUGCGAUGAAGGCCUUCGGAUUGUAAAGCACUUUUAGCAGGGAGGCGGUACCUGCAGAAUAAGCACCGGCUAACUUCGUGCCAGCAGCCGCGGUAAUAC